rnacentral:rRNA from 1 species
GAUGAACGCUGGCGGCGUGCCUAAUACAUGCGAGUCGAGCGAAUGGAUUAAGAGCUUGCUCUUAUGAAGUUAGCGGCGGACGGGUGAGUAACACGUGGGUAACCUGCCCAUAAGACUGGGAUAACUCCGGGAAACCGGGGCUAAUACCGGAUAACAUUUUGAACCGCAUGGUUCGAAAUUGAAAGGCGGCUUCGGCUGUCACUUAUGGAUGGACCCGCGUCGCAUUAGCUAGUUGGUGAGGUAACGGCUCACCAAGGCAACGAUGCGUAGCCGACCUGAGAGGGUGAGCGGCCACACUGGGACUGAGACACGGCCCAGACUACUACGGGAGGCAGCAGUAGGGAAUCUUCCGCAAGGGACGAAAGUCUGACGGAGCAACGCCGCGUGGGUGAUGAAGGCUCUCGGGUCGUAAAACUCUGUUGUUAGGGAAGAACAAGUGCUAGUUGAAUAAGCUGACACCUUGACGGUACCUAACCAGAAGGCCACGGCUAACUACGUGCCAGCCGCCGCGGUAA